UACGUAGGGUGCAGGCGUUAAUCGGAAUUACUGGGCGUAAAGCGUGCACAGGCGGCUCCUUAAGUCAGAUGUGAAAGCCCCGGGCUUAACCCGGGAACUGCGUUUGAAACUGGGGAGCUAGAGUGUGGAAGAGGGGGGUGGAAUUCCAGGUGUAGCAGUGAAAUGCGUAGAGAUCUGGAGGAACACCGAUGGCGAAGGCAGCCCCCUGGGCUAACACUGACGCUCAUGCACGAAAGCGUGGGGAGCAAACAGG
rnacentral:rRNA from 1 species